AUGAACAAAAUGAAGAAAAAUAUGGACGAGAGUAUGCAACAGUGGCAGGAUGAGAUGUAUAAUGAGAAAAGAAAGUGGCAAAAAGAGAAUGACAUUUUGUUCAACAAAAUCAAGAUCUUGGAAGAAGAUAAAGCUAGACACCAAGCAUUGUGGGCUAAAUAUGAGCAAAAGUUUAAGGAGCUUGAGGAAAGACAAAACAAUAUGCAGACUGAGAUGAACCAACAACAAGAGGAGAUCCAGAAGCUAGUCCAAGAAGCAGUUAACAGGGAGCAAUAUGAAAUGGAGCUGGCUAAUAUGGAUUUGGAGGACUAUGAUAAGGAAAACCAGCACAUAAAAAGUGAAACUGAAUCUAGGAAGUACAAUGAACCAACUGACUAUAAUGCUAAUCAGGAAUCAAUUGGCACUCUGGGGGAGAAAAUGGCAGACCUGCAUGGUGUGGAGGCCACAGGAAGAGAGGGAGAGGAGAGAGAAGUGGAAAUAAAAAGGAGUCUCAGAAACAAAGGGAAAGAAGAUUAG
rnacentral:rRNA from 1 species